rnacentral:rRNA from 1 species
UUAAAAUGAGAGUUUGAUCCUGGCUCAGGACGAACGCUGGCGGCGUGCCUAAUACAUGCAAGUCGAACGAAACUUUCUUACACCGAAUGCUUGCAUUCACCGUAAGAAGUUGAGUGGCGGACGGGUGAGUAACACGUGGGUAACCUGCCUAAAAGAAGGGGAUAACACUUGGAAACAGGUGCUAAUACCGUAUAUCUCUAAGGAUCGCAUGAUUCUUAGAUGAAAGAUGGUUCUGCUGUCGCUUUUAGAUGGACCCGCGGCGUAUUAACUAGUUGGUGGGGUAACGGCCUACCAAGGUGAUGAUACGUAGCCGAACUGAGAGGUUGAUCGGCCACAUUGGGACUGAGACACGGCCCA